CCGUUCUGUUUUCUUUGUGUAGCAAUGUUAGCUUGUUAGCGUUAGCCAAAAAGCUAUGGCCUCUUUUCUCUAAUUUGAUGGCUGCGUGUCUCCCGCUUUGUCUUCGGACAAGUCAGCGAAAGCCCCAAAAUGGAGCAAGACACCCGUAUUAGGUAUGCCCUUCACGCCACCAUGACAAACACUCUGGGCUCCGUGUUGUGCCUUCUGUGUUACACUUGCUUUUCUCACCCUCGAUCUCCCCCUGUGAUGAUUCCUGCUGCUCCUCCGCCAUCUUAGCCGUCCAGAUCUGUUUCCUGUUUUUUUCACAACUUUAUUGCUUAUGCACAGACUGACAAAACGGUACUAUGAGUACAACAAACUGGAGGAUAAAGACGCAUUCUACACAGUUCGACAGAUGCUCCCGCCCGCCGGGUCCCCCAAGGCCUUCGUCUACCUCGUCCUCAUCGUCCGUCACGGGUGGGUAGCUGCAGCUCAGGGAGGAGUGCCGCAUGGAUCUGGUGGUGCUGGUGGGCCUCGAGCCACCCUCGGCAGAGCCGUUGACGUGCCGGACGACCUCCGUGGGCGAUUGGACAAUGGGCAGUGAUGAUGGGAUGAGAGGUGGAUGCAGACGGGAUUCCUGCUGCAGAGUGAAGCUAAAGACUGACCCCGAGAGAAGACAUGCUGGUUCUCAAGGUUCCCUCUACCCUCAACGGGAUGCUCUCCUCAGUCUGCAAUAACAGGAAACAAACAGACAUGAGUGACAAACUUGCUCAAGUUAAACUUUCCCAUUUCCUCUGAGAGACUAAGUAGGUUGAAACGACAGCAAGAAGAUCUUAUAUGUCGUCCCGGCAGAAUUAAGUGCUGGAUUAUGUCUUCAUUUGAUGUGAAAAGAGAAAGAAUGACUGACUAAGUCUAUCAAUUUGCAAUGAAGCACCGAUCUGAGCGCCUCCCUGCCACAGUGACACAUAAGAGACCCUGCUGGUUUCUGGAUCAGCACCACGUGGGCAGAACUGGGUUGAGAUGAGAAAAGUCGGGAUGACGUGUGAAAAGAAUAAUUCAAGUACCGCUCCUCUUGCAUCUGUGCUGACCGAGUUCAUCCUCCUGAAAGACGCUUGGCGUGACAGAGUGCUUAUUUCCUCCCUGUGGGGGCACAGUUAUAAACCCACUAAUGAAGAUAUUCGAAGGAGCAGGUGACACAGAUAACGAUGACCAGCAUUGAGAUGAGCAGCCCCCCAGCGAUGGCCCCCACUAUGAUCAUCAGCGUAUUCUCCGCCAUGGUCUGACUCCCGGAAGACUCUGCUGUAAAAACAAGGAAAAAGAAAGAAGUUGUCUGCUGUGUUUUUGAAUGUCUUGUCAAAAGGGUGACUUGUUAACCGGACACACACCUGCCACUAGAAUCUCCACCUCCGCUGUACCCACCCCCACCUCGUUCCUCGCCAGGCACUGGUAGGUGCCGCCGUCUGACUGGCUGAGAGGGCGUCCAAAUUCAAGGGUUCCGUUGGGGUGAGGGAUCACACCCUCGGGCAACUUGUCACCCAGUCUGCAAACACACACACAAAAAAAAACACACUUUAAAUCACAUGCAUCCCUUACCAAUCAAUCAAUCAAAACAUUUCCCUCCUGCAAUUAUUUAGGCUGUGUUUCAAUGCUUUUCAUUUAUCAACACAAGCACAUGUACGACACCGCAGCAGCAGCGAUUGCUUCACCAGGCGCCUGUUAUUGACAAAGCCAACUGGUUUGACGGUCUUGUUUGCUUGGCGUUUGCUUUCAGUCAAGGCGUGCUGCUGCUAUUAACAACAAUAAAGUCUUCCAUUAGAAUGUCAGAACUUUAAGAGUUGCUUGAAGUGGCAGACAUUGUUGCUUUUUUUUUUUUUUGGUGGUAACAAGCACCACCAUUGGACACACCCUGAUGACAUUUUAAUUCCCCUGCAUUAAGCAAGCCAAAGAUGACUGGAUCACCUCGUGUGUCAGAGCUACAAGCAAAACAAAGCUGAAAUCUGUCCAUUCCAACUGAGUCGCCACGUCUCUUGUACGGGGGGUCAACUUGAGGGCGUGAUUUUGAACAGUGAAUGAAAAAUGUGUAGGAUUGAACAGAAUGAUGUGCAAAACAAAAGCGAUGCCCUAAAGUCUGCCUUUGAAGAUAUAAGGCUCACUUUUUAGGUCUUAUUUUAUCACUAAGUAGUUUAUAGUGCUGGAAAACUAUGAUCACAUUGCUGUAUGUGGUGAUUGGUAGAAACACCCUGAAGUUACAGCGGGUGUAUUGGACUGCUGUGUCAUGGGUUUAAUUCCAGAGCCGCCAUGUGGUGUGUUUGUCAGAUAGGAUAAUAGCACAGGCAACACAUGGGGUGCAUGUUUUGACACAUUUCACCCUUUUGUAUGCAGCCAUUCACUAGUAGAAGAAUUAGCUUCUAAUGUCCCACAUUACAUAGACAUAUGUUUGGAAUAUUUUGAUUUCCUG